rnacentral:rRNA from 1 species
AAAUUGAAGAGUUUGAUCAUGGCUCAGAUUGAACGCUGGCGGCAGGCCUAACACAUGCAAGUCGAACGGUAACAGGAAACAGCUUGCUGUUUCGCUGACGAGUGGCGGACGGGUGAGUAAUGUCUGGGAAACUGCCUGAUGGAGGGGGAUAACUACUGGAAACGGUAGCUAAUACCGCAUAACGUCGCAAGACCAAAGAGGGGGACCUUCGGGCCUCUUGCCAUCGGAUGUGCCCAGAUGGGAUUAGCUAGUAGGUGGGGUAACGGCUCACCUAGGCGACGAUCCCUAGCUGGUCUGAGAGGAUGACCAGCCACACUGGAACUGAGACACGGUCCAGACUCCUACGGGAGGCAGCA